rnacentral:rRNA from 1 species
CCUACGGGAGGCAGCAGUGGGGAAUAUUGGACAAUGGGCGAAAGCCUGAUCCAGCCAUGCCGCGUGUGUGAAGAAGGUCUUCGGAUUGUAAAGCACUUUAAGUUGGGAGGAAGGGCAGUUACCUAAUACGUGAUUGUUUUGACGUUACCGACAGAAUAAGCACCGGCUAACUCUGUGCCAGCAGCCGCGGUAAUACAGAGGGUGCAAGCGUUAAUCGGAAUUACUGGGCGUAAAGCGCGCGUAGGUGGUUAGUUAAGUUGGAUGUGAAAUCCCCGGGCUCAACCUGGGAACUGCAUUCAAAACUGACUGAGUAGAGUAUGGUAGAGGGUGGUGGAAUUUCCUGUGUAGCGGUGAAAUGCGUAGAUAUAGGAAGGAACACCUGUGGCGAAGGCGACUACCUGG